rnacentral:piRNA from 1 species
GAUAAUGCAGGACAAACUGGAGAAGGAGAG